UUUAGUGUGGCAGAUUAGUGCCAUGAACUUAAGAUUCAUAUAUAGAAUUCUUUCUUGCUAAAA
rnacentral:tRNA from 1 species